GGAGAAAGGGAUGGGGAGAGUCCCUCCUGCCACUGACCCAGGAUGGAUAAAAGUACCCCUUUCAUAGAAGGAAGAAAAUGGGAACAAAGGUGCUGCUGAUCAUCUGAGGUUGCCUGCAUGGCAGUGAAGAACAUGGACCUUUGGGUAGCCCACCUGGGAGGAAUUUUCCAGAGAUCACUGUCUGAUGACCCUGUCUUGGAAUUGGAGCCAUGCAAGUUACACUGACCACGUUUGGGUUGGGAUAUUGAGGAGGUUAUGGUUAAAAGCAUACGAUGGGAGAUCAUAUUGUACUUGCGAGUGAGACCCGGCUGGAGGAAUGUUUUAAUUCUUCGGAAAUACCAAGUGGUCUCUGUAAGUAACAUAGGGUGGUUAGCCAAGCAUAAUGAGACCAUUGAGGCAUCCCAGCAAGAAUUGAUCUGUUUAGAGAAGAGAUGUUGCUGCUGCUUCUUUUUUUUUAACAUUUUAUUUUUAAUUUUGCUGCCUAUGACAAGCUGCUUCUAACAGCCUCAGGGCGAGGGGCCCAUGAGUGCAAGGACAGGAGAGGGGUCUGCGAGUUCUACUUGGGUAGGGCUUGGGGCAUCAUAGGAGUGCAGGGAUCUCCUCUCUGGGAUCCAGUUUAACCCUGAUGACAUCCCCCAUGCAGCAAAUAACUCCAGGUAACCGGCAGCAGCUGGUCCACAUCAUAGUCUGUGAGAGAUUGCUCAUGUCUUGCCUGUUUUCCUACCUCUUCAUUCUAAGGAAAAGGACCCACAAUCUGAGUGCCCUGCUCUGGGACAUAGGUGGGGAACAGGCAGGGAUGGGAGGUGGGGACCACUUUCUUCUGCACCCAUUAAAUAUAUGCCUUUUUUUUUUUGAGACAGGGCCUCCCUCUGUCACCCAGACUGGAGGGCAGUGGUGCAAUCGUGGCUCACUGCUGCCUCAGUCUCCAGAUGGCUCAAGCCAUCCUCCCCCAUCAGCUGUCAAAAUACCUGGAUUUACAGGUGCAUGCCACCAUGCCCAGCUAAUUUUUUCUAUUUUUUUUUUUUUUGUAGAGAUGGGUUUUCACUAUUUUUCCCAGGCUAGUCUCCAACUUCUGGGCUCAAGCGAUCCACCCGCCUUGGCCUCCUAAGUCCUAGGAUUAUAGGUAUGAGCCACUGCGCCUGGCCUUUUUGCCUUUUGAAAGUAUCUGUUGUUAACAAUAUUCAAUUGGGUUGAAUCUUGCUAGGGACCAAGGUGAAUUUGCAUAAAUUAGUCUAUGCCAAUUUGCAUACUAUCAGCAAAUUUGUAGUGUACAGAAUUUUGGAAAUAGAAGGAAGCUAAGAGGGGUGUCAAAUGCAGCUUCUUCUUUUUUUACCUGAAAAGAUACCAAAGUCCAGCUCAGGGAAGGUCACACAGCUAAUUCUUAUCAUGGGGAGACAGACCCAGGGACAUCAUGGUGCCUCCGAGAUUAGUACGGCCCCUCAAACAUCCCCAUUUUCUGUCCCUAGCCCAUUGGAACCCCUUAAAGUUGGUCCCUCGAGCUCGGGUGAUAGCACACAUGAUGGAAAGUAGGCAGGCUUGCCAUUGAAGCUCCAACCUAGCUCUGCACCACAUCAGCUGUGUGACCUUGAGCAAAUCACUUAACCACUCUGAGCAUGGCAUUUGUAAAUGUCAAGGUAGCAACGCCCUCUUUACUGCCCUGUUGUGACAAAUAAGAUAUAUUCCAUAAAUAUGAUCCAUGUAGUAUUAAACUACCAUUUACUGAGUCUCCCCUAUGGAAAGCACUUAGUAGGUGCUCAAAAACUCCUAGUCCUUUCUUCCCCUCUUUCAAUGUGUCACUGCAUCUGGGUAAUUUAUACCCAUUUCCUGUUUUCCUUUGAGAAGUGCAUGUCAUGCUCUGCACAAAAGUGACUCUUAAUGGUGGCAUUUCAAGCAUCAUGGCAGAGUGCUGAGACGCUGAUGAAGAUAUUUUAGGCUGGGGUGCAUGGGGAGCACUCUCAGGGCCUCUCAUGCGCAUCCUGAGCCCUUCCUGUGAACCAGACUGACCCUGGCUUCUGUGCCAUUUUCAUUCCAGCCAAGAAUGUUCUGAAAUGAAGCCAAUAUCUGAAGGAUCUAGGAUGCCUGUUCCCCUCUCUUAUGCUGUCUCGGGGGAUGAUUUAGCCACCAAGAAUUUUCCUUAUGGUUGCAAGAUGAUUAAAAAAAACCACACACUCAGAUGCUUUUCGGAGGUUGACAUUUUUCACAGCCCCUCUUCCUCCUCCAUAGAUUUCCUGGAGGUUCCAUCCAGCUCUGGCUCUAGCUGGCUCCUUGACUCUGGACAAGUCACUUCAUCUCUCCAAGCCUUGUCUAUAAAGUAGGGAUAAUACUCCUUCCCACUUCAGAGAGUCAUUCGGGGAUUAAACUGUGACAUGUAUGUAGCCAAGGGUCCAGCACACACUGACAACUCACCAAAUAUUAGCCAUCACUCCAAACUAAGAAGGCAGGAUUCCGGCUGGGCACGGUGGCUCACGCCUGUAAUCCCAGCACUUUGGAAGGCUGACGCAGGUGGAUCAUGAGGUCAAGAGAUUGAGACCAUCCUGGCCAACAUGGUGAAACCCCGUCUCUACUAAAAAUACAAAAA
ensembl:lncRNA MIATNB MIAT neighbor